UCAGAAAUAUGUCCUUUUGGUACGUUCCGUCAAGAAGAACAACGUAAACCAGUGUCACAUAAGCUUAAAAAUGUAUCUUUUUUUUAGUAUUGAAACAUAAUACAUUGUAUUUCCAGAUAUAGACGAGUGUGCAGUCAGCAAUGGCGGGUGUAGUCAGGUGUGUGAUAACCAGCCUGGCACCUUCCGAUGUCUCUGUAAUAGCGGCUAUACUCUGGCCUCUGACAGUAGAGCUUGUGAUGAUAUAGACGAAUGUGCAGUCAGCAAUGGCGGGUGUAGUCAGGUGUGUGAUAACCAGCCUGGCACCUUCCGAUGCCUCUGUAACAGUGGCUAUACCCUGGCCUCUGACAGAAGAGCAUGCGAUGAUAUAGACGAGUGUGCAGUCAGCAAUGGCGGGUGUAGUCAGGUGUGUGAUAACCAGCCUGGCACCUUCCGAUGUCUCUGCAACAGUGGCUAUACCCUGGCCUCUGACAGUAUAGCAUGUAAUGAUAUAGACGAGUGUGCAUUCAGCAAUGGAGGGUGUAGUCAGGUGUGUGAUAACCAGCCUGGCACCUUCCGAUGUCUCUGUAACAGUGGCUAUACUCUGGCCUCUGACAGUAUAGCAUGUGAUGGUGAGUGAUGGCAAAAGUACCAGGCAAUGAAGAGAAAAGGACACAUAUUUCUGAGUUCAGUGCUUAAGUGGAUGUCUUUCUUCAUAAGA